rnacentral:rRNA from 1 species
UACGUAGGGUGCAAGCGUUUAAUCGGAAUUACUGGGCGUAAAGCGUGCGCAGGCGGUGAUGUAAGACAGAUGUGAAAUCCCCGGGCUCAACCUGGGAACUGCAUUUGUGACUGCAUCGCUGGAGUGCGGCAGAGGGGGAUGGAAUUCCGCGUGUAGCAGUGAAAUGCGUAGAUAUGCGGAGGAACACCGAUGGCGGAAGGCAAUCCCCUGGGCCUGCACUGACGCUCAUGCACGAAAGCGUGGGGAGCAAACAGG